rnacentral:rRNA from 1 species
UACGUAGGGCGCAAGCGUUGUCCGGAAUUAUUGGGCGUAAAGAGCUCGUAGGCGGCUUGUCACGUCGAUUGUGAAAGCCCGGGGCUUAACCUCGGGUCUGCAGUCGAUACGGGCUGGCUAGAGUGUGGUAGGGGAGAUCGGAAUUCCUGGUGUAGCGGUGAAAUGCGCAGAUAUCAGGGGGAACACCGGUGGCGAAGGCGGAUCUCUGGGCCAUUACUGACGCUGAGGAGCGAAAGCGUGGGGAGCGAACAGG